GGGGGCUUAGCUCGGCGAGGAGAGCGCCUGCUUUGCCCGCAGGAGGUCAGCGAUUCGAUCCCGCUAGUCCCCA
rnacentral:tRNA from 1 species